UAGUCAUAUGCUUGUCUCAAAGAUUAAGCCAUGCAUGUCUAAGUAUAAACAUCUUUAUACAGUGAAACUGCGUACAGCUCAUUAUAUCAGUUAUUAUUUAUUUGAUGGUACCUUACUACAUGGAUACCCGUAGUAAUUCUAGAGCUAAUACAUGCGUCAAAGUCCCGACUUUUUGGAAGGGAUGUAUUUAUUAGAUUAAAAACCAAUGCAGGCAACUGCUCCUUUGGUGAUUCAUAGUAACUUUAACGGAUCGCACGGCUUCACGCUGGCGACAGUUCAUUCAAAUUUCUGCCCUAUCAGCUUUCGACGGUACUGUAGUGGACUACCGUGGCAUUAACGGGUGACGGAGAAUUAGGGUUCGAUUUCGGAGAGGGAGCCUGAGAAACGGCUAACACAUCCAAGGAAGGCAGCAGGCGCGCAAAUUACCCCAUCCUGACACAGGGAGGUAGUGACAAAAAAUAACAAUACCGGGCCUUUUUAGGUCUGGUAAUUGGAGUGAGUACAAUUUAAAUCCCUUAACGAGUAUCCAUU
rnacentral:rRNA from 1 species